rnacentral:sRNA from 1 species
GCCAUCUUGAACCGUUAAAACAAGGGAGACCAGCCAUAAUGGCGUUCUUCUAAAAAGUAAAUGUCAAGUAUUUUAAAGAUUUGUCAUUUUCAAAACUCAUACCCACACAAAUGAUACUAGGUCAAAAUCAUUGGAUAUAAUUACAAUAAAGGAUGAGGCUGGGCGUACUUCUGAUCCUGACUACCUCUCUAAUCUGCGCCUUUACACAACAAAUAAAUGAGUGUCCUAAUGCCUGGAUCGAGAACUCAGGCUACUGUUACAGUUUUGUGUUUGGUCCUGUUAGGACAUACCAAGAAGCAGCGAUAUCCUGUCAGAUGACCGCUUCCACUCUUGUGACCGUCAAGACAGCUGGGGAGCAUGGAUUUAUUCAAGGCUGGCUCACUGCCCACGAUCC